rnacentral:lncRNA from 1 species
CUUCAUGAUAGAUUGUUUGGGAAAUGAACCAGAGGUAUCUAAUGGUAAUCACAGAGAGGGACUAGCAAGCAAUUUUAAUUGUAGCUUAUUCAACGUUAAAACAAUUUUUCACUAUAAGGCCACACCAAUUUAACUCCUGGUUCGACGGACCCGACCGCAGUCACCGCACCUAUUUUUUUCAAAACAGAUUUUUUUUUUUUAAUUUAUAUUCCCCGCUUCCCGC